rnacentral:rRNA from 1 species
GCAUAACGCGAAGAACCUUACCAGGGUUUGACAUGCUAGUGGUAGGAAGCCGAAAGGUGACCGACCCUUCGGGGAGCUAGCACAGGUGCUGCAUGGCUGUCGUCAGCUCGUGUCGUGAGAUGUUCGGUUAAGUCCGCUAACGAGCGCAACCCUCGCUGCGUGUUAUAUGUGUCACGUGGGACUGCCGGUCUUAAGCCGGAGGAAGGUGGGGAUGACGUCAAGUCAGCAUGGCCUUUAUGUCCUGGGCUACACACACGCUACAAUGGUCAGCACAAUAGGUAGCUGAACCGCAAGGUGGAGCCAAUCCUCAAAGUUGGCCUCAGUUCAGAUUGUAGGCUGCAACUCGCCUGCAUGAAGAUGGAGUUGCUAGUAAACGCGCGUCAGCUAUAGUGCGUUGAAUACGUUCCCGGGUCUUGUAC